ACUGGUAAAUUAGGUGCGGGCUGCCUUUUGAUGUUCCCCGUUAGCCGCCAUAACUUUUGCAUACUGUAUCUAUCCCUUGCAUCGAUAGAUUCCAGCAACUCAUCAAGUCUUCUCGCCUUGGCAUGCUUGAUUUCCCGGCUAAUGUUGUUGGCUAAUCUGUUGUGUGCUUGCCUAGCAGCCGGGUUGUGGUAUGCCUGUAUGUGGCGUUUAAUCAGCCUCUUGGCCUCAAUCAUUUGUUGAAUGCGCCUGUUGAUUGUGUAGUUAUAUUUUGGUUGCCCUCGGUAAGGCUGGUGAGUUAGGUUUGUUGCAAAUUUCGCUGCAGAGUGGAUAUUAUUUUCCAGUAUGUCUACCGCAUCGUCAAUAUCUUCGCCACAGUGAAGCUCAGUGUUCAAAUUGAUGUGCAUGUUUAGCCACAAUUGAAAUUUGGGUAUGCUCGCAUUUGCUGGAAGAAGAUGACACUUGGGUUCGCCUUCUGCUGGCUUACUCAGUAGUUCAAUCAGCAGCGGCAGGUGAUCCGAUCCUAAGUCAUUGGAUGUGCUUAUUUUUAGCAGACCAUACUGCACACCUUUAUAUACUGCGAAGUCAAUGGCUGUCGGGGACUGCCGCGCAUUAUUUGGAAAGCGCGUUGACGAGCCAGUUGCCAGAAUGUCAAGGUUUUGCUGCUGCACACUUUCAAGGAGUAUAUUACCCCUGCGAUUUGAUCUGCUGUUGCCCCACCAAUAACUUCUGGCAUUCCAGUCACCAGCAGCAAUAAAUUUAGCACCAAGCUGUCUAAAUACGUAGUUGAAGUCUUGAACCAGCCAAUGUUCCCGCGGGGGGCAGUAUAUGGCCGCAACAUUAAUGACUGAGCCAUUUAGCAGUGUAAUUGCAACUGGCGCACACUGAAUUUUCUCCAGGGUUGUCGGCAUGAGCGCUAUGUGUUGGAUUGUGCGCUUUACUAGGAUGGCUGCACCUCCACGGCGGUUGUUAGAUGGGUGGUUUGCCAGUUUAUUGUGUAGUCCUGCUGCAUUCCAGGCUACAAUUUUAAGGGCGUUGGUGUUGAGUCUGGCAUAUAUGUUAUGCCCAUUUCUCUCUGAGGAGGAAGUGAUGGAGUUGGCGUCGUGGCUAGACAUUUUGGUUACCAUUGACGCGCUCCAUGGUAGACAUGAGAGUGCUUACGGUAGCCAUCAUACUCGUCAUUAGAUCAACUAAUCUGUCAAUUUUACUUUCCAGGUUGCUGUUAUUGGCAGGGGCAAUUGCGCUCCUUUGUUGUUCAACCAUUAUGUUGAUCAGCUGAUCAAGUUUUCGGCUGAGGUCAUCUCGCGGGUAUGCAGUUCGCGGUGAGCUGCGGCUGCGGCUCCUGUGUUGCUGGCGCGCUUCUGCAGGAUGUGCUAUCACUUGCCGAGUUUCUCGCU